UAUGUUGAAUAGAAAGUUUGUGCGGACAGAUGAUGCUAUGAAAGAUUCUGAAGAGACUGCAACAGCCUUCAAUAUUACAGGAAACAGCAAGCCUAUCUACUAUACUCCUACUGCUAUACUCAAGUCAAGUCUCUAUAUCACUGGAAGGAUUUCAAUACAAACAACGACCUCCUCCUUAAGGACGAGGACAGUGGACGGACAGCGACUGAUACUGGCACUCCUCACCUGGGUUGUACUGCAAGGGUGGAGUUAUAUCCAGCAUUAUAAUAAUAGGCAUCAUUAUUAUUACUGCAUGAGCAUUACAUUACAUGCUGUGUCCUAACCUCUGCCCUAACAAUGUUAUUAUCACAAUACAUGUUCUGGGAGACCAAUGGCAGAAUUUGGAGAAUACUAGAGGAAACAACACUAUACAGAGUAUCUACGGCUACUAUACUGAAUUAAGUCAAGUCUGUAUGGAGCAUCUCUUCACCGGCAAUGACAUCACUGGCAUUGGUGGAAUACAAUGUCCUCCUCCUUAAGAAAAACUACUACACUCAACUACAUCUCAUCAGUCAUAAUUCAAUCAUCAACUCAUUUUAUUUAUUGGGGGCCCCUUCAUAUUUUCAUUUCUUUUUUCGUUUUCGUUGUUAUAAAUCAUGAAAGAAGAAAAAUGAUCAGGAGGAGUGGUCAGGCCACACCUACAAUGUACAUGUGACCACGCCUCUAAUGCAAGGCCACACCCACCUUUCCACACCUUCAUGUGAGCUGUGGGUGUGCCGAGUACUACAUACACACAUGAUGCUUUGUCCCUGUAUAGAUAGUACGUAUAACUAUAAUUAUACUCGAUUUCUAACCACCUGGAUUUAACAUAACCCCUUCAAACCAACUGGAAACUAACAGAACCUUCUAAUCAACUGGACUGGGAUAGCCUCAAUACAUAUCCCAGAUGGUCCCAUGGGCGGAUGGGCGGGGGGCCAGCGAUGCAGUGCCACAUACUCGCGACGGUGCUGGCUGUCACACUGCAUGGAGGGAGGACUAUUAUCUCUCUAUAGUGUGCAAGAGCACUGCAAACUGAACACACUUUUGUAAUUUCAAUUUCUCAAUGAUUUGCUAUAAUUAAUGUGGUUUUGAAAAUUUAAUAAGAAAUUUGAACA